rnacentral:rRNA from 1 species
CAGUCGCCACGGUAAUACAGAGGGUGCGAGCGUUAAUCGGAUUUACUGGGCGUAAAGCGUGCGUAGGCGGCUUCUUAAGUCGGAUGUGAAAUCCCUGAGCUUAACUUAGGAAUUGCAUUCGAUACUGGGAAGCUAGAGUAUGGGAGAGGAUGGUAGAAUUCCAGGUGUAGCGGUGAAAUGCGUAGAGAUCUGGAGGAAUACCGAUGGCGAAGGCAGCCAUCUGGCCUAAUACUGACGCUGAGGUACGAAAGCAUGGGGAGAAAACAGGAUUAGAUACCCCCGUAGUCCCUGUCUCUUAUAC